ACAUCUGUAGACUCUGUCUGUUCGCUCCUCUUCCGCUGGCACACAGUCUUUCCUCUAUCGGCUCCUUCUCUACCCAGCAUCACAGGUGGCAUUGCACUAGUGGUUGCAUCAGAACAUGGAAUCUGUUGUUUCUAUGUAUGAAGAUCAUUUUGAACUACGUACUUUUGAAACCCAACUUGUUGAGGAAUGCAGCCAAAGGGAGGCUGAAAACUUGGAUUGGUGGAAGAAACUUAGCCUGCAGAGAUCUAGAACUACAUCACCUUGUUUAUCUUUUCUCUCAUAAUGCACACUUCCAUAUCUAUUAAGCGGACCAAGGAACUAAGGGCUUUGACUGUGUGAAUCUUGAACUGGGUGAUCAUGUGGCUGAGCAGUUAAGAAGAAGGAAUCUGUUGUUCUAUGUUAGGUAUUCAUGUAGUC